rnacentral:rRNA from 1 species
AGCAGCCGCGGUAAUUCCAGCUCCAAUAGCGUAUAUUAAAGUUGUUGCAGUUAAAAAGCUCGUAGUUGAAUUUCGGGAUCAGUAGGUUGGUCGUGCCACCGGUACGUACUGGUCUCACUGAUUCCUCCUUCCUGGAGAACCGUAAUGCCAUUAAUUUGGUGUUGCGGGGAAACAGGACUGUUACUUUGAAAAAAUUAGAGUGUUUAAAGCAGGCUAACGCUUGAAUACAUUAGCAUGGAAUAAUGAAAUAGGACGAUCGAUCCUAUUUUGUUGGUUUCUAGGAUUGACGUAAUGAUUAAUAGGGAUAGUUGGGGGCGUUAGUAUUCAAUUGUCAGAGGUGAAAUUCUUGGAUUUAUUGAAGACUAACUACUGCGAAAGCAUUUGCCAAGGAUGUUUUCAUUAAUCAAGAACGAAAGUUAGGGGAUCGAAGACGAUCAGAUACCGUCGUAGUCUUAACCAUAAACUAUAGCCGACUAGGGAUCGGAUGAUGUUAAUUUUAUAAUGACUCAUUCGGCGCCUU